UGGAUACUGAGCAAUUCUGGCAACAACCGAAUUCGCGCGCCGCACGAUUGUCUCCGCCGUAGUUUGACUCAUAGAAGCUGAAAGCUUCGGUUUUUUCGAAAUGUGGCCGUACGAUUGGUCAAACGGGGUCGGAGACGUAAGGUUUUUGAAGUAAUCGUCUCCUCGCUUCCUGUUGCUGGUUAGAGCCCCCAUUAUCCAAGCAACUACUCAGGCGAAAACCCUAACCAUUGAAUUUUCGACAUGUUCGGAAUUUUGCAGUAAAACUGGCGUGGGGUUUCUAAUUUGGGCAAAAGGGUAUGCAGGAGAUGAAAUUGAUCGGAAAAUCAAGGCGAAUUGGGGUUUCCGACGGAGAGUUGGUUGGCGAGCAACUAUUUUUCGAGAAUUUGAAAGCAAUCGACAAAGGAUUGUGCUAUGGAAAUAGCUGCGAAAGGCGAAUUGGAAUUAUAAACGUGACUGAUAAUUUCUUUUGAGAUUGAAGUCUUUCCUAAUAUUUGUAGAAAAUAUAUACUAGUCAUUUAUUUUAUUUUAUUUUUUUAAGAAAAUAGAAAUAUAUAGAGUUUUAGAGUAGUGUUUUAGAACUUUUUCCCCUUUUCUUUGGGAAGAAACAAUUAUUUAUGCGUAAAUAUAUAAAUUUUCAGUAUUUUUAAUUUUAUCUUAAUUUUUCUUUUGAAUUUAAAUAUACAAAUUUUAUUUUAUUUUAUUUUUUCACGGCGAACAAUUUCAAUCAAAUUGAAAUUGACCUGACUUAUACAUUACAUAUUAUUACUUAUAUGACGUACGUGUGUCAAAUACAAUUGCUAAGGAUGAAACGACAUCGUAUUCUUAAGCAGAAAACAAUGUCAUUUUUUAUGAAAUUAAAAUAAUUCCAAAUAUAUUUUUCAUUUAACACGAUGAUAUUUAGAUUAAGUAAUCGAUGUGUCAUUUUGAGAAUCGGUCGAUUUACUUAUGUUGGCAUAUUUGGCAGACACAUUAAUUUCAAUUUGAUCAGAAUUGUUUGCCAUGAGAAAAAUCAGAUAAACACUAAGUUCUUAUAUUUAAAUUUAAAAAGAAAAAUUCAUUAAAAAAUAUUGAAAAAUUAUGCAAUCACACACAAAUUUCAAAUUGCUUAUUAGUGAAUCAAACUUAAAUACAUAAUGGACCACAUAGUUGGGUUAUAAUAAAAACACAUCUUUUUGUAAAAACUAAUAACGGUUGAAUUCUAUGUAGAACACGUAUGAAUUAGAUGAAUUCAUACAGUUACACAGCUAAUUCAUCUUGUUCAAAAACUUCGGCUGUCUGGUCAUCUCUCCUCCAGUGGAUCGGGGUUCACUCGGUCCAACAGAAAGAAGCUCGUGAUCACUUCAUGUCUUUUUUUUAGUCUUGGUAACAAGAAAGCUAUCCCUCUCCUUUCAAGUCUGUGGAUUUGUGCUACUUGGUGUAUCUGGAAAGUUAGAAAUGAUUGCAUCUUCAACCAAGGUUUGUGGAACCAAGAAAAACUGGUGAAUGAUAUCAAGACGAGACUGUGGAGCUGGACGAAGGUGUACAAGCUGGAGCAAUCGUCAUCUUAUCUUCACUCGUGGAUGAGAAAUCUGGGCGUCUUCGAUUGAUCCUAUUUUCGAUUGUUCUGUUGCUGACCUUCUUUUCCUCUCUUCCUGGUUCUCCAUUGUUUUGAUCCUUGCUGGACUCUCUUUCUGGUACCUCUGGUACCACAAUUUAUAAUACUCCAUUUUUCCUGAUUAAAAAAAAAAUUCAUACGUGUUCUACAUAGAAUUCAGCCGUUUUUAGUUUUUACAAAAAGAUGUGUUUUUAUUAUAGCACAUCCCUCGACCACAUUAUGGUAAUUAGAUAUGACUUGUUUGAUUCAUGAAGUGUUUGAUGCCAUACAAGUUUGAAAUCUAAAUUUAUAAUUUUGUUAAUAGUUACUUUCUUCGUCCCACGAAUCUUGACACAUACCGUCCCACGAAUUUUGACACAUUUCUAAAUAAGGUAAUAUCUAUAUCUUAUUUUAUCACUUUUAUUAUCUUCUCUCUCAUACUUUAUUAUUUUUAUUAUUUUCUCUCUCCUACUUUAUCACUUUUAUAACUUUAUUAACUACACACUUAAAAUACUAAUUUACAACUCUUUAAUUCUCGUGCCGAAACUAAACGUGUCAAGAUUCGUGGGACGGAGGGAGUAGAAGUUUGCAAGAAUUGUUGGUGGUGAAAUUUCGUUUUAUUUGUUAUAGAUUGUAAAUUUGUAAUAGUGGUCAUCAGGAAGCCAUGCAUGAGCUUUUUUGUUUUUUCUUUUCCAUAUUUUCUUCAAGAAAACCCAUUGUAUUCGAAAUAUAUAGGCGUGUGACCAUUUUAUUAUGAAAGAUGCAUAUAUUCGAAGAACUAUAUAUCUAUAAAAUCUAAAUAUAAUAUACUAUUAAAAAGUCACAUUGUGGAUAAUCUAUUUGUAAAGUCAAUAUACUUACUUGUAACCAAAAGUAUGACCAUUUUUAUACUUGAUUUUCGAGAGGGCACAUGUAUUUAGCAGCUAAAAAACAAAAGCUAUUAAAAAAGCAUGUGUAUAAAAAACCUCUAGUUGUCGGCUGAGUAUGGACUAUAGACAUCUAAAUAUUUUGCAUCCAACCGAGCCGAACCGAAUAGUGGUGUGGUCAAGUUUGAUUUAUUUAGUAUCGAAACGAAUCUCGAACUUUACAUACCGAAUACUUUGAAGUUCACGAGCGGCUCAUGAGUCUAAUCGAGUCUAUACGAACUUUCUAAAUUUAUAUUUAUAUUCAAAAUAUUGAUUAUUUUAUUUUAAAAAUAAAUUAUUUUAUUCAAACUAAUAAAUAUAUUAAUUAUUUUUUUAUAAGAAACAAAAUUAAUUAGAGAUUUAAUACAAUUAUUAUUAAUUUUAGUGGAUAAAUAUAAAUUGUAUCUACUAAUAAUUUAUAUUUUUCAAGCUGAAUCACUUGACGAACGUGUUCACGAACUAACGAACCAAAUACUAUUAAGCUCAAGUUUGGUUUGUUUAUUUAUCGAGCUUCUCUAAAUGAACUUGAACGAGCUUUUUUCAAUCUGAGCUCCGAAUAGUUCGCGAGCGGCUUGAUUUGUUUACAGCCCUGUGCAUCUCAUUGUGUACCAUUUUUCAAUCUUUUGUAUUGUGUUUUUGUUUAAUUUUGCACUCGUUGAUUAGAAUUUGUUAUACUCAAUUGGCAUAUAUAAUUAUUUUUUAAUAUUAACUUAAAGUAUAUUAAUUAAUAAUUAACUAUUCAGGUUGAUAAAUCCAUAAUUAUGUUAUAUUGUAUAUGAUUUUUUUUUAACUUCAGCUUUCUACNUGUCGCUGCUAUCAAGCUCAAUCACCUCCUUCUCCUUCUCCUUCUGUUUCCACGGAACGUACCUCAAAGAUCUGAAUGCUGAAUCCUUAAGUCUUUCUAAUUGCCGCGAAAAAAAAUUAUAUUUCCCCAUUGGUGGGGAUUCCCUAGAACUAGCAGAAGAAACAGUAUUCUUAGCAGAAGAAAAACUUCCCAAUCUAUGCCUAACUGGGGCGUGAACUACUCUCGGAAGCCCCAAUUGCCUAUCUGGAUACUGAGCAAUUCUGGCAACAACCGAAUUCGACGCAGCCGCACGAUUGGUCUCCGCCGUAGUUUGACUCAUAGAAGCUGAAAGCUUCGGUUUUUUCGAAAUGUGGCUGUACGAUUGGUCAAACGGGGUCGGAGACGUAAGGUUUUUGAAGUAAUCGUCUCCUCGCUUCCUGUUGCUGGUUAGAGCCCCCAUUAUCCAAGCAACUACUCAGGCGAAAACCCUAACCAUUGAAUUUUCGACAUGUUCGGAAUUUGCAGUAAAACUGGCUUGGGGUUUCUGAAUUUGGGCAAAAGGGUAUGCAGGAGAUGAAAUUGAUCGGAAAAUCAAGGCGAAUUGGGGUUUUCGACGGAGAGUUUGUUGGCGAGCAACUAUUUUUCGAGAAUUUGAAAGCAAUCGACGAAGGAUUGUGCUAUUGAAAUAGCUGCGAAAGGCGAAUUAGAAUUAUAAACGUGACUGAUAAUU
rnacentral:lncRNA from 1 species